GAUGAACGCUAGCUACAGGCUUAACACAUGCAAGUCGCGGGGCAGCAUGGGGGUUGCUUGCACUCCCCGAUGGCGACCGGCGCACGGGUGAGUAACGCGUAUCCAACCUGCCCUUCACCACGGGAUAACCCGGCGAAAGUCGGACUAAUACCGUAUGUUGUCCAUUGACGGCAUCCGAUUUGGACGAAAGGUUUGGCGGUGAAGGAUGGGGAUGCGUCCGAUUAGCUGGACGGCGGGGUGACGGCCCACCGUGGCGACGAUCGGUAGGGGUUCUGAGAGGAAGGUCCCCCACACUGGAACUGAGACACGGUCCAGACUCCCACGGGAGGCAGCAGUGAGGAAUAUUGGUCAAUGGGCGUAAGCCUGAACCAGCCAAGUAGCGUGCAGGAUGACGGCCCUAUGGGUUGUAAACUGCUUUUAUGCGGGGAUAAAGUGGCCCACGUGUGGGUUUUUGCAGGUACCGCAUGAAUAAGGACCGGCUAAUUCCGUG
rnacentral:rRNA from 1 species